rnacentral:rRNA from 1 species
UGGGAACGCGAAGAACCUUACCUACUCUUGACAUCCAGAGAACUUAGCAGAGAUGCUUUGGUGCCUUCGGGAACUCUGAGACAGGUGCUGCAUGGCUGUCGUCAGCUCGUGUUGUGAAAUGUUGGGUUAAGUCCCGCAACGAGCGCAACCCUUAUCCUUUGUUGCCAGCGGUUAGGCCGGGAACUCAAAGGAGACUGCCAGUGAUAAACUGGAGGAAGGUGGGGAUGACGUCAAGUCAUCAUGGCCCUUACGAGUAGGGCUACACACGUGCUACAAUGGCAUAUACAAAGAGAAGCGACCUCGCGAGAGCAAGCGGACCUCAUAAAGUAUGUCGUAGUCCGGAUUGGAGUCUGCAACUCGACUCCAUGAAGUCGGAAUCGCUAGUAAUCGUGGAUCAGAAUGCCACGGU